rnacentral:rRNA from 1 species
UACGUAGGGUGCAAGCGUUGUCCGGAAUUAUUGGGCGUAAAGAGCGUGUAGGCGGCCCGAUAAGUCCGCUGUGAAAGUCCAGGGCUCAACCCUGGAAUGCCAGUGGAAACUGUCGGGCUGGAGUCCGGAAGAGGCGAGUGGAAUUCCUGGUGUAGCGGUGAAAUGCGCAGAUAUCAGGAGGAACACCAAUGGCGAAGGCAGCUCGCUGGGACGGUACUGACGCUGAGACGCGAAAGCGUGGGGAGCGAACAGG